AGAGCUUAGCUAAUCGGUGAGCA
rnacentral:miRNA from 8 species